CUGGGCAUAGGCAGUAAUAUAAGGCAAGAUGGCUAAGGAAGAAGGUGGGCAGCGGAGCCGGUGAAGGAAGCCGCAGGCGCGGAUGGAGGCGAAGAGAUCAGGAGCAGUAAAGGAACACUCUCUUCCCCAGUCAGCUGGGAUACGGAUUUUGUAAGGCCUAGGGACUUUGUCUUUGGAGGUCCUGUCUCCAUAAGGCUUCCCAAAACAAAGAAUGUUCAGAUUGGACUGGCCUUAAAAUGCAGUAUUUAAAACAGCAACAUGUCUGACAGAUCCGAGAAAUGAAAUACGUCCAUUUCUUUUGGCAAGGAGCAGAAGGCAACAUAAAGCAGCUGCAAGAAUUAAUUCAUGGAGAUAGUUGACAUUUUCGAGCUGACUGCCUCUUAGAGAAAAUGAUGUCAUUCUCCAGCAGCCUAAUGACAGUCAUCAGCCUGAGAGGACACAUGCUAAUAAGACUAUCACCAGCAAAGAAUUUUCUGAGCAAAUGUGUACUGGAGACCUUCUGAGGAACCCACUAGAGCCUGCACAUCCCCUUUUCCUAGCAAGGUCAACUGGAAAACAGUGUUCUUUCCAAGAUAACGUGCAACUUUCCUUUGGAAUGAUCAGCAGAAUGUCAAAUAAGGAAAGGACAUGUAGAGUUCAUGGGAGGAGACAUUACUUCUGGCUGCAGAAUUAUGGAGGCUUUAUGGGAGACGCCGUAUAUUUUAUCUGUGCGCCUUGAUCACGUGUCUGACCAUGGACAGAGAAACCAGCCUAAUGAGCCUUCUUUACAGGAAGCCCCAAGCUGUUUUCCAAAGUGGUUGUACCAUUUUACAUUCUCACCAGCAAUGUACCAGGGUAAGACUUAUUUGCAAUUUUCUCCUGCUUAUAGAAUUCUAAAGCUAUGUAAAAGGUUAGAAAUGUAACAGGUGGGUCAUUUUGAUACUUAUUUAGAAAGCCUACUUUUUCUUUCCAAACUACAAACAUUUCUGUUGUCUAAUGAGCAGAUGCUACCAGCUAAUGAAGCAGGAAUACUAAUUUCUUAUUUGAUUCAUAAUAAUAUUCAGUAAUUACAGAGGAAUCUUUACUUAUCUAGCUUUCUGUGUAUAUGUGUUCUACAGUACUAAUUUUUCUUUCUUUUCUUUUAAAAAUUCACCUUCCUUACUGCUUUGUUAUUUAAUGAUUUGUUCUGAUUAUAGACCAUUAAUGCCUGUUUAAAAAAAAAGUCCACAUGUGCAUUUCAAUACCUCUUUUAUUUUAUACUGAUUCAAAGCAAUUCAAUUCUUCAUUCCUAAAAACAUUUAGGCUGAGGCAUAAAAUAGCCAAUUUAAACGAAGUAACAUUUAGUCUUUGAAAUUGCCGUAUAUGUAUUCUUCAUUUAUGCCUACCUGAAAAUGUCAGGUAUGAAAUGAAUUUUAGUGACUCAAUUGUUAUUCUAUAGGCAAAUCCUUAUCUUAUAAACAUACUAGAUAACUUUAUAAGAUAAAUCUGUUUCUAAGACAAAAUUUGUCCAUAAUUCUGAAUUUCUUUCUUUCUUUAUUUACUUAAUGAAAAGGAUGUUUCAUGAACCUUCUAAUUCUUUCCUACUGUGGAUGUUAGUUGGCAUUUUGUAUUGAAUUUCAACAUUUGAGAAUAAGUCAUGGGUCCAGCUAAUCUGCAUAGACCAAUUUGGAGCAGCAUCCUUAAUGAGUGGUGAACUUUCUCUGUUCUCCAGACAAUAUCAACUCUGCCACUUGAAACCAAGGCUUCUAAUGACAUGAACUGAAGGAAAAGUCUUGAUUUCAGAUUUUUGUUUGGCCUGUUUCAUCUCCAUUUGCCGACCCUGGAUUACGCAGAUAGUGCACUGCUUUUAGUAAUCUAGGCCCUUGUGCCAGACCUUGACUGUCAUACUGCAUUAUAACUGAUGGUUCAAAUGCUUCUUUUACAUAAGGAGUAUUUUCUUCCCAGAGAUACCUCUAAGAUAUUCAUGGCUAACUAAAAAUACUCCUGAAUGCUGUUCUCAAGUAGAGUUUCAAGGUCAACAUGAAAAUUGUUAUCACUCUCUUAUGUGACAUAAAAAAAUCUGUUUUAUCUUUGUAACAAUGCUUUCAUUAAAAAAAAAAAAAAGCUUUGCAAUUCCUCUGCUACACUAGUGUUUUCUCAGAUACCAAACAGGCUAUGCCUUGAUGGCAAGAAGAACAAGUUAUGAUUAUUUAUAUGCCAGUGUGCACUUGUU
rnacentral:lncRNA from 1 species